rnacentral:rRNA from 1 species
AGGACGAACGCUGGCGGCGUGCUUAACACAUGCAAGUCGAACGAAAAGAGGGGAAGAGCUUGCUCUUUUCAGAAUUGAGUGGCAAACGGGUGAGUAACACGUAAACAACCUGCCUUCAGGAUGGGGACAACAGACGGAAACGACUGCUAAUACCGAAUAAGUUCCAAGAGCCGCAUGGCCCAUGGAAGAAAAGGUGGCCUCUACCUGUAAGCUAUCGCCUGAAGAGGGGUUUGCGUCUGAUUAGCUGGUUGGAGGGGUAACGGCCCACCAAGGCGACGAUCAGUAGCCGGCCUGAGAGGGUGAACGGCCACAUUGGGACUGAGACACGGCCCAAACUCCUACGGGAGGCAGCAGUGGGGAAUAUUGCACAAUGGGGGAAACCCUGAUGCAGCGACGCCGCGUGAGUGAAGAAGUAUUUCGGUAUGUAAAGCUCUAUCAGCAGGAAAGAAAAUGACGGUACCUGACUAAGAAGCCCCGGCUAACUACGUG